GCGGCAAAAGCUCAAAUUUGAAAUCUGGCUCCUUUAGGGGUCCGAGUUGUAAUUUGCAGAGGAUGCUUCGGGAGCGGCCACGGCUUAAGUGCCUUGGAACAGGACGUCAUAGAGGGUGAGAAUCCCGUCUUGAGUCGUUGGUCCGCGCCCAUGUGAAGCUCCUUCGACGAGUCGAGUUGUUUGGGAAUGCAGCUCUAAGCGGGUGGUAAAUUUCAUCUAAAGCUAAAUAUUGGCCGGAGACCGAUAGCGCACAAGUAGAGUGAUCGAAAGGUUAAAAGCACCUUGAAAAGGGAGUUAAACAGCACGUGAAAUUGUUGAAAGGGAAGCGCUUGCGGCCAGACUCGGGUACAGGGUUCAGCGGGUGCGUGUCACCCGUGUACUCCCUGUUUCUCGGGCCAGCAUCAGUUCUGACGGCCGGUCAAAGGCCUCUGGAAUGUGUCGUCUUUCGGGACGUCUUAUAGCCAGGGGUGCAAUGCGGCCUGUUGGGACUGAGGAACGCG
rnacentral:rRNA from 1 species